rnacentral:rRNA from 1 species
UUGGUUAAGUUAGAAAGGGCGCACGGUGGAUGCCUUGGCACUAGGAGCCGAAGAAGGACGGGACUAACACCGAUAUGCUUUGGGGAGCUGUACGUAAGCGUUGAUCCAGAGAUUUCCGAAUGGGGGAACCCACUAUCUUUAGUCGGAUAGUAUCCUUACGUGAAUACAUAGCGUGAGGAAGGCAGACCCAGGGAACUGAAACAUCUAAGUACCUGGAGGAAGAGAAAGAAAAAUCGAUUUCCUGAGUAGCGGCGAGCGAAACGGAAAGAGCCCAAACCAAGAAGCUUGCUUCUUGGGGUUGUAGGACACUCUAUACGGAGUUACAAAAGAAAGUUAUAAAUGAAGCGGUCUGGAAAGGCCCGCCAAAGACGGUAACAGCCCGGUAGUUGAAAUAGCUUUCCCUCCAGAGUGGAUCCUGAGUACGGCGGAACACGUGAAAUUCCGUCGGAAUCCGGGAGGACCAUCUCCCAAGGCUAAAUACUCCCUAGUGACCGAUAGUGAACCAGUACCGUGAGGGAAAGGUGAAAAGCACCCCGGAAGGGGAGUGAAACAGUUCCUGAAACCGUGUGCCUACAAGUAGUUAGAGCCCGUUAAUGGGUGAUAGCGUGCCUUUUGUAGAAUGAACCGGCGAGUUACGAUUUGUUGCAAGGUUAAGCGGAAAAAGCGGAGCCGUAGCGAAAGCGAGUCUGAAUAGGGCGCAUAAGUAACAGGUCGUAGACCCGAAACCAGGUGAUCUACCCAUGUCCAGGAUGAAGGUAAGGUAAUACUUACUGGAGGUCCGAACCCACGCACGUUGAAAAGUGCGGGGAUGAGGUGUGGGUAGCGGAGAAAUUCCAAUCGAACUUGGAGAUAGCUGGUUCUCUCCGAAAUAGCUUUAGGGCUAGCCUCGAGGUAAAGAGUCAUGGAGGUAGAGCACUGUUUGGACUAGGGGCCCUUCUCGGGUUACCGAAUUCAGAUAAACUCCGAAUGCCAUGUACUUAUACUCGGGAGUCAGACUGCGAGUGAUAAGAUCCGUAGUCGAAAGGGAAACAGCCCAGACCACCAGUUAAGGUCCCCAAAUAUAUGUUAAGUGGAAAAGGAUGUGGGGUUGCUUAGACAACCAGGAUGUUGGCUUAGAAGCAGCCACCAUUGAAAGAGUGCGUAAUAGCUCACUGGUCGAGUGACCCCGCGCCGAAAAUGUACCGGGGCUAAACAUAUUACCGAAACUGUGGAUGAACCUCUUUGGAGGUUCGUGGUAGGAGAGCGUUCUAAGGGCGGUGAAGUCAGACCGGAAGGACUGGUGGAGCGCUUAGAAGUGAGAAUGCCGGUAUGAGUAGCGAAAGAAGGGUGAGAAUCCCUUCCACCGAAUAUCUAAGGUUUCCUGAGGAAGGCUCGUCCGCUCAGGGUUAGUCGGGACCUAAGCCGAGGCCGAUAGGCGUAGGCGAUGGACAACAGGUAGAGAUUCCUGUACCAGUGCUAAUUGUUUAACCGAUGGGGUGACACAGAAGGAUAGGGAAUCGCACGAAUGGAAAUGUGCGUCCAAGCAGUGAGUGUGAG